GCAUAUCAAUAAGCGGAGGAAAAGAAGCCGACCGGGAUUGCCUCAGUAACGGCGAGUGAAGCGGCAAGAGCUCAAAUUUGAAAGCUGGCCCCUCCGGGGUCCGCAUUGUAAUUUGCAGAGGAUGCUUCGGGCUCAGCCCCCGUCUAAGUGCCCUGGAACGGGCCGUCGGAGAGGGUGAGAAUCCCGUCUGGGACGGGGUGCCUGGGUCCAUGUGAAGCUCCUUCGACGAGUCGAGUUGUUUGGGAAUGCAGCUCUAAAUGGGUGGUAAAUUUCAUCUAAAGCUAAAUACUGGCCGGAGACCGAUAGCGCACAAGUAGAGUGAUCGAAAGAUGAAAAGCACUUUGAAAAGAGAGUUAAACAGCACGUGAAAUUGUUGAAAGGGAAGCGCUUGCGAUCAGACUCGCCUGCGGGGUUCAGCCGGCAUUCGUGCCGGUGUACUUCCCCGUGGGCGGGCCAGCGUCGGUUCGGGUGGCCGGUCAAAGGCCCCGGGAAUGUGUCGCCCUCCGGGGCGUCUUAUAGCCCGGGGUGCCAUGCGGCCUACCUGGACCGAGGAACGCGCUUCGGCUCGGACGCUGGCGUAAUGGUCGUAAGCGACCCGUCUUGAAACACGGACCAAGGAGUCUAACAUCUACGCGAGUGUUUGGGUGGCAAACCCAUACGCGCAGUGAAAGCGAACGGAGGUGGGAACCCUUCGGGGCGCACCAUCGACCGAUCCUGAUGUCUUCGGAUGGAUUUGAGUAAGAGCGUAGCUGUGGGGACCCGAAAGAUGGUGAACUAUGCCUGAAUAGGGCGAAGCCAGAGGAAACUCUGGUGGAGGCUCGCAGCGGUUCUGACGUGCAAAUCGAUCGUCAAAUUUGGGUAUAGGGGCGAAAGACUAAUCGAACCAUCUGGUAGCUGGGUCUGCG
rnacentral:rRNA from 1 species